rnacentral:lncRNA from 1 species
CAAAUCUAGAUACAAAAAGAAAAAGAAAAACGUUCUGGAAUUCAAGGAAAAACAGUAGAGGUUUAGAGUGAUUUUGUAGUCAAACAGUUUGAAAAAAGGGAGAAAAAGUUGUGGUUUUUUCCUGUUGAUUCAAGGAAGCUUUGUUUGACAUUUCAGUGAAUUUCGAGUUCGGUUUCGAUCCGAAAUCGAAGUCGAGUAUGCUGUUCCUGAGCUGCUGAAUUCCGUGCUCAAUUCCAACCUUAUCUGGGUUGCUUUUUGCCGCAAUUUCCCUGCUAUUAGGUAUGUAUUCCUUUAAGCUAUGUUCAGACUUCAAAUUUACUAUGAGAUGGAAUUGCUUUAUUGUUUAUUUUUUACAAUGAUUUGGUAAUCAAAUGGUAUGCUUGAUUGUUUAUUGGUUACGCUUAUUAUAUGUGCAAUUCAUAUGAUGUAAAUAGAAGUGUAUUCAUAAGAUUCGGUUUUCUACAAACAUGUGCAAUUUAUAUGAUGUAAAUAGAAGUAUAUUCAAAAGAUUCAGUUUUCUACAAAUGGAAAAGAAAAAGAAUUUUUGUUUUCCACUUACUACUGUAUCUUAUAUUCGGUGGACUCACUGCUAAAAGGUAAAAAUUUGUCCCAUUUGAUAUCUUUGCCGUUUGUUCUUACAUAUAAUGAAAGCACAAAGUCUUAAAAAAAUUUAAAUGCUCGAGGUAUGAGCAAGAAGUCGAGGUUGUUUGUUUCUAACUAUGGGAUGACUUUUAACAUUACCUUUUUUUUUUUUUGAAAAAAGCCAACGGGGGGUUUGGUGGGAGAAGAUGUGAUCUGUUUGGUUAAUUGAUACUGGUAAGUGAUAGAAUCUGCUUAGUGAGCUUGGAGAUGGUCAAAUGCUAAAUUCUUAAAAAAUCUCUUUGAUAAACAGAGUAAAAAAGCCAACGGGAGGUUUGGUGGGAGAAGAUGUGAUCUGUUUGGUUAAUUGAUGCUGGUAAGUGACAGAAUAUGCUUAGUGAGCUUGGAGAUGGUCAAAUGCUAAAUUCUUAAUAAAUCUCUUUGCUAAACAGAGUAUAAAAUAUUUACAUGCUCUCUCACUAAGAAUUUUUAUUAUAUUUUAACAAACUAUUCGGUCUCUAUAGAAUCAUGGAACAGGAAUGCAGAACUGUUUGGGUAUAUAUUUAGGCAAAUUUAUACUUGGGAGCAGUAGUAAAAAAUGGAAUGUUGUUAGUAUCCAAUUUACUCCUACUUAAUGUUGAAAUGAGUGACUAUGUUACAUUUGUACACACAGUCCUUCCUUGUAUAUUCACCGUGUCGAACAAUUAAGUGUCCUCGAGUUUCCUUGAAAUUGAAUUGAUACAGAUUAAUAUAGAAAACAUGGAUAAAUGGAUAAUGUAAUCUUUUGAGUAUCAGCAUACAUGCACCUUGGUAAUUGAUAUUGGGAUGAUAAUUCUGAUGCUAUUUUGGAGGAGAUAUUGCCCUAAGAUAUUACCGAAUCACAUGGACUAUAAAAUUGUCUCUUUAUACAUAAUCUUGGCAAAAAUCAUCUCGUGUGAGGUUUUCUGCAUGUUAAAUACUGUUAUGGAGCCAAAACAUUCAUAUCAUUAAAGUGGCUUUCAUGUUAGUUCCAGAUUAAUACCAUGUAGCUAAUAUGCUUAUUAUUGAGUUCAUGUCACUUAUUUGUUCGAAUAAUCGGUAGCAAUACCUUAGGCAUGUUAUUAAUUCAAUCAAUUAUCUUGAUUGUAUAGACGUUUGCGUGACACGAUUACUAUUUAAAAAAUGAAUAUUUGUAUUUUGCUUUAGGCUUGAUUUAGACUAAUAUUGUGAUUAUGUAUACGUUUCCGUAACAUACUUGCAAAUUUAAUUCUAAAGUGACUAGAGGGAUGGUUCGCGCAACAUCAGCCAAACUUUUCUUAAUAAAUCAGCAAAAGCGUUAUUAAUUGUGGACAUGUAUGCGUGACAUGAUUUUUGACGCGCCAUAGGAAAAAGUAUACGUACGCGCAACUCAAUCAUUUAAUUAUGAAUAAUCAAGUGAUUUAAAAGAGGUAAAACGAUGAAUGCACAUAGGUCGUAAAUGAGUAGCUAAACAAUUUAAGCCAAGUAACAAUCACUAAGCGACCGUGCUAGAACCACGGAAGCCAGGAAUGCCUAACACAACACCUCCUAGAUAAACAGAAUUCCUUAUCUUGAAUUUCUGGUUCGCAGACUGUGAGUAGAGUCAACCUUUCUCGAUUUGGAAUUUAAAAUAAAUCAGUGACUUGGGACACCAAUUAAAAUAUUUCAAGUGGCGACUCUGAUAAAAAAAUGAAUGAAUAAUCCCAUUUCGAAUAAUGUCACUUAAUUGAAAAGAACUCCCUCUACACCCUUCCGGGGGUGUAGUGAAAAAGGAGUUGAGACAGCUACCGGCAUCGAAUUUGUUUUUGGGUAGUAAUGGCAGUCAACAGUUCCUACUGUGAGCGUCGAAGUGGUAGGGUAUAUCAUAUGUUUACAUCUUGGGUUAUGGGUAUGGCUUGAUACAGCUUGCUCAGAUUUAUACAGUGGCUAGAUGUUGGAUUCGAGACUUCUGAUGAAUUCUGGAUGAUAGAGAUUGGGUUCUAAGGUUUAAGGACCGAACUCGAAAUAAGGACCUCCAGUUAUGUUAUGUUGGAGGGCUAUGUGGAUCAGGAUGACGUGGGAUCACCCCCGGGUUGAUGCUUGGCAAGGUUGCAUCGGGAUUUGAUAGCUUUGGAAGGACUCCUAGAACGUUCGAUGAUGAACCUGUGUUUAAGUGGUGGAGGAUGUAACGACCUGAUUGGUUAUUUUGAGUAUCUGCACUUUGCUCGGUGAUGCGAGGGCUCGAUUAUCUCCGCAUGAUGUAUUAUGACUUGCGUAAAUCAUUGGUGUUGGUUUUCAAGUUAUCUGGAAUCGGUUUGGAAGAAAGAACUUCAAGAUUUAAGUUCUAAAUUGGAAGAAUUUACUAAGUUUGACUUUUUAGCAUUUGACCUCAGAAUGAAGUUUCUCAAUUCUGUUAGCUCUGUUGGGUGAUUUUGAACUUAGCAGCACGUCCGGAUUGUAAUUUGGAGGUUUGUAGUCGAAUUAGUCUAGAAUUGGCGAAAGUUGGAUUUUUAUGAAGUUUGACUGGGAGUGGACUUUUUGAUAUCGAGGUCGGAUUCCGAUUCUAGAAGUUGGAAUAGGUCUAUAAUGAAAAAUGUGACUUGUGUGCAAAAUGUGAGGUCAAUCAGAGGUGAUUUGAUAUGUUUCGGUAUCAAUUGUAGAAGUUGAAGUUUCAAAGUUCAUUAAUUUUGACUUGAGGUGUGAUUCGUCGUUUCAUAGUUGUUAUUUGUGAUUUGAAGCUUUGAGUUGGUUCAUUUUGUCAUAAAGAACUUGUCUGCAUAAUUUGGCACCAUUUGGAAUUGAUUUGAUAUAAUUCGGACGAUAGGUUGUAAUUCUAGAAGUUCUUGAAGUAUAAGUAAGCAAAUGGUUGUAUGUUUCUGCAUUAUUUUUUAUUUUGAGGUCAUGCAACUCAUGGACACUACAAGUUUUACUUUUGUAUAGACGAAGGUUUUAGAUAGUGCUUCAUUUAAUUGCUGAUGAUUGGUGUAACGAUUUACAAAUAUGUAAAUAAAAACAUUUAGUAUCAAAGUAGCAAAUGGAACAUUCUGUGUAAAAAAUAUAUGGAAUCAACUAUUGAUAGUUGUAUUAGGAUAAGUUGCUUGCACCACGCGCUAUUUGAAUUUUUUUUUACUUUUUUCCGAAAUUUUACAAUUCUUAUGUCCAAACACUCACUAAAUGUGUAAAACUCAUAUAGAGUUCAAGGCAAUAGUCAAAACAAAAAAUAAGCUUACUCCUUGAAAUUUUAUUCUUGAAUUUAUGUUACAUACAUGCGGAGUAUCCCAUGGAGACAUUAUUCUGACAUGUGUAGCAAAGCUUAAUUAGUUGCCACAACUCAAAACUCAACUAGCUUUUUUCACAGAAGUGAGUGAACCAGAAGAGAAACUCACUGAAUCAUACCUUUGAAAAAUAUAAGCCACAAUCAAAGAAGCAGUAAGAGUAACAACAUCCUUAGCCGCACAUUGUUUGUUUGAUUCAGUUGGUCUCCCACUCUGUGGUCCAUUUGACCAAAACAAAAAAUUCAGCAAUUCUUUUCCUUUUUCCUUUGUAAACCUUUCCAACACAAAUUUUCCAGGAUCAUCAAACACCUUUGGAUCUCUCAUUACCAAUGGCUGAUACCCACAAAGAAGUUCACCUUUCUUGAUUUCAUAUACUGAAUCGUGUGAACUUAGCUUAAAAUCUUUUCUUGCUCUUGCAUAUUGAGUUGGCACUGGUGGACUAAGUCUAAGUGUUUCAUAUACAAAAGAUUGAACAAGUUCCAUUUCUUUAACACUCUCAAAACUCAAAUUUUCUGGCUUUAAUCCAACUUUCUCUCUCACUUCAUUUCUUAACUUCUCUUGUAAUUCUGCAUUUUUUUCAUCUCCAAG